rnacentral:pre_miRNA from 1 species
CAAAUACUCCCUCCGUCCGGAAAUACUUGUCAUCAAAAUGGAUAAAAGGAAAUGUAUCUAGACGUACUUUUGUUUUAGAUACAUCUCUUUUUAUCCAUUUUGAUGACAAGUAUUUUCAGACGGAGGGAGUAGAAA